rnacentral:rRNA from 1 species
GACGAACGCUGGCGGCGUGCCUAAUACAUGCAAGUCGAGCGCGGGAAGCUUGCGGAAUCCUUCGGGAGGAAGUGAGCGGACCGAGCGGCGGACGGGUGAGUAACACGUGGGCAACCUGCCCGUAAUAUGGGGAUAACCCCGGGAAACCGGGGCUAAUACCGGAUAGGUGACCUUUCUGCAUGGAGGGGUCAUGACAGGCGGCGGAAGCCGUCCCUUACGGAGGGGCCCGCGGCGCAUUAUCUAGUUGGUGAGGGAAGGGCUCACCAAGGCGACGAUGCGUAGCCGGCCUGAGAGGGGGAACGGCCACACUGGGACUGAGACACGGCCCAGACUCCUACGGGAGGCAGCAGUAGGGAAUCUUCCGCAAUGGACGGAAGUCUGACGGAGCAACGCCGCGUGAGUGAGGAAGGCCUUCGGGUCGUAAAGCUCUGUUGUUCGUGAAGAAGGGGUUGGCCAGGAAAUGGGCCGACAUUGACGGUAGCGAACCAGAAAGCCCCGGCUAACUACGUGCCAGCAGCCGCGGUAACACGUAGGGGGCAAGCGUUGUCCGGAAUGAUUGGGCGUAAAGGGCGCGCAGGCGGCCUCUUAAGUCUGAUGUGAAAGCCCACGGCUCAACCGUGGAGGGACAUUGGAAACUGGGGGGCUUGAGUGCAGGAGAGGGGAGUGGAAUUCCACGUGUAGCGGUGAAAUGCGUAGAGAUGUGGAGGAACACCAGUGGCGAAGGCGGCUCUCUGGCCUGUGACUGACGCUGAGGCGCGAAAGCGUGGGGAGCGAACAGGAUUAGAUACCCUGGUAGUCCACGCCGUAAACGA